GCCCCCGUAGCCCAAGGGAAGAGGCCGGCCCCCUAAAAGGGUCCCCAGUGUCGGUUCGACUCCGACCGGGGGUACCG
rnacentral:tRNA from 1 species